rnacentral:rRNA from 1 species
UAAGACGAGGGAUCCUAGCGUUGUUCGGAAUUAUUGGGCGUAAAGCGGGUGUAGGUGGCUUUGUAAGUCAGGUGUGAAAGCCCAGGGCUCAACCCUGGAAGUGCAUUUGAUACUGCGAAGCUUGAGUGUGGGAGAGGUGAGUAGAAUUCCAGGUGUAGUGGUGAAAUACGUAGAUAUCUGGAGGAAUACCGGAGGCGAAGGCGGCUCACUGGCCCAACACUGACACUCAGACCCGAAAGCGUGGGGAUCAAACAGG